UUUGCAGACAUUACCAAUGCUACAUGCUUUAUCUUUUUGCUAUAUCGUUUUUGCCAUUCUAAAUUCUAAUCAGUGCUGUUUAAAAUUACUAACUUAUUGUAUUUUACGUUUAUGUAGCACCUUCCCUGUCCACUAGCAGUCGCCCCGUUAAGAAGAGAAGUCUUGGUCAUGAUGGUAGACUCACUCCAGGAAAGUACACGCUGCAUAAUAGCGUCCUCCUAUCCCAUGGAAAUCAAUCUCAGAUUCAGCGGAAUAUUUCUCAAGUGAAACCCGUCAAUCUACACUCCACAUUGCUCCAAGACAUGGACUUAGAUUAUGCUGAGGUCAACACCACUGUGGAGGUAUUGUGUCCGACCAAUGCUGAGCAUUCUGAUAUCCCGUCGAACUCUGGUAUUGAGAUAGCGAUGAAUGAUGUUAACCAGAUAGUAGAUUGUGAUGAUCAAGAUGAUUUGUCUGACACUGCUGGU